rnacentral:rRNA from 1 species
AAUAUUGGACAAUGGGGGCAACCCUGAUCCAGCCAUGCCGCGUGUGUGAAGAAGGUCUUCGGAUUGUAAAGCACUUUAAGUUGGGAGGAAGGGCUUUAGGCUAAUACCCUGAAGUUUUGACGUUACCAACAGAACAAGCACCGGCUAACGCUGUGCCAGCAGCCGCUGUAAUACAGAGGGUUCAAGCGUUACUCGGCAUUACUGGGCGUAAAGAGCGCGUAGGUGGUUCAGUAAGAUGGGUGUGAUAUCCCCGGGCUCAACCUGGGAACUGCUUUCAUAACUGCUGAGCUAGAGUACGGUAGAGGGUAGUGGAAUUUCCUGUGUAGCGGUGAAAUGCGUAGAUAUAGGAAGGAACACCAGUGGCGAAGGCGACUACCUGGACUGAUACUGACACUGAGGUGCGAAAGCGUGGGGAGCAAAC